GAUGAAGAACGUAGCGAAAUGCGAUAAGUAGUGUGAAUUGCAGAAUUCAGUGAAUCAUCGAAUCUUUGAACGCACAUUGCGCCCCUUGGUAUUCCAUGGGGCAUGCCUGUUCGAGCGUCAUUUGUACCUUCAAGCUUUGCUUGGUGUUGGGUGUUUGUCCCGAGGGACUCGCCUUAAAGUAAUUGGCAGCCAGUGUUUUGUUUUGAAGCGCAGCACAAGUCGCGAUUCAAGGCUACACGCCCGCUUCCACAAGCCUUUUUUCACUUUUGACCUCGGAUCAGGUAGGGAUACCCGCUGAACUUAAGCAUAUCAAUAAGCGGAGGA
rnacentral:misc_RNA from 1 species